rnacentral:rRNA from 1 species
CCAAACUGUUGCCUCGGCGGGAUCUCUGCCCCGGGUGCGUCGCAGCCCCGGACCAAGGCGCCCGCCGGAGGACCAACCAAAACUCUUUUUGUAUACCCCCUCGCGGGUUUUUUAUAAUCUGAGCCUUCUCGGCGCCUCUCGUAGGCGUUUCGAAAAUGAAUCAAAACUUUCAACAACGGAUCUCUUGGUUCUGGCAUCGAUGAAGAACGCAGCGAAAUGCGAUAAGUAAUGUGAAUUGCAGAAUUCAGUGAAUCAUCGAAUCUUUGAACGCACAUUGCGCCCGCCAGUAUUCUGGCGGGCAUGCCUGUCCGAGCGUCAUUUCAACCCUCGAACCCCUCCGGGGGGUCGGCGUUGGGGAUCGGCCCUGCCUUUUGGCGGUGGCCGUCUCCGAAAUACAGUGGCGGUCUCGCCGCAGCCUCUCCUGCGCAGUAGUUUGCACACUCGCAUCGGGAGCGCGGCGCGUCCACAGCCGUUAAACACCCAACUUCUGAAAUGUUGACCUCGGAUCAGGUAGGAAUACCCGCUGAACUUAAGCAUAUCAAUAAGGCGGAGGAA